UACGUAGGGCGCAAGCGUUGUCCGGAAUUAUUGGGCGUAAAGAGCUCGUAGGCGGCUUGUCACGUCGGGUGUGAAACCCCGGGGCUCAACCCCGGAACUGCAUCCGAUACUGCGUGGCUAGAGGUAGGUAGGGGAGAUCGGAAUUCCUGGUGUAGCGGUGAAAUGCGCAGAUAUCAGGAGGAACACCGGUGGCGAAGGCGGAUCUCUGGGCCUUACCUGACGCUCAGGCACGAAAGCUAGGGGAGCGAACAGG
rnacentral:rRNA from 1 species